rnacentral:rRNA from 1 species
UAGUCAUAUGCUUGUCUUAAAGAUUAAGCCAUGCAUGUCCAAGUAUAACCCCUUUGGGGAAAACUGCGGAUGGCUCAUUAAAUCGGUUGGAAUCUACAUGAACACCCCCAGUACGUGGAUAACCACGGAAAAUCUGCGGCUAAUACAUGCUCUUCUGUGCGGUCUUCUUGAUCGUACUGCAUACAUUAGUUCCAAAAUCAACUUUAUUUGGGUGAUUCAUGAUGUCUAGGCGAAUCGUAUGACCUUGUGUCGACGAUGAUUCAUUCGACUUUCCGCCCUAUCAACUUUGGAUGGUAGUGUAGUGGACUACCAUGGUUGUAACGGGUGACGGGGAAUUAGGGUUCGAUUCCGGAGAGGGAGCCUGAGAGAUGGCUACUACUUCCAAGGAAGGCAGCAGGCGCGCAAAUUACCCUAAUGGUCAAAGACCGAGGUAGUGACAAUAAAUAUCGAUGUUGGUGAUUCGUCAUUGACAAUCGGAAUGAACUGAAGUUAAGUCUCUCUAUGAGUACCAAUU